rnacentral:rRNA from 14 species
UGUCUACGGCCAUACCACCCUGAACGCGCCCGAUCUCUUCUGAUCUCGGAAGCUAAGCAGGGUCGGGCCUGGUUAGUACUUGGAUGGG